GAAAUAAGAUGAUCAAGUGAAAGCUGCUAACUUAUCACUUUAGCGGUUUGAAUCCGUUAAUAUUUCU
rnacentral:tRNA from 1 species